GGCUUACACAUGCAGUCGAGCGGUAACAUUUCUAGCUUGCUAGAAGAUGACGAGCGGCGGACGGGUGAGUAAUGCUUGGGAAUAUGCCUUUUGGUGGGGGACAACAGUUGGAAACGACUGCUAAUACCGCAUAAUGUCUACGGACCAAAGUGGGGGACCUUCGGGCCUCACGCCAUUAGAUUAGCCCAAGUGAGAUUAGCUAGUAGGUGAGGUAAAGGCUCACCUAGGCGACGAUCUCUAGCUGGUUUGAGAGGAUGAUCAGCCACACUGGGACUGAGACACGGCCCAGACUCCUACGGGAGGCAGCAGUGGGGAAUAUUGCACAAUGGGCGAAAGCCUGAUGCAGCCAUGCCGCGUGUGUGAAGAAGGCCUUCGGGUUGUAAAGCACUUUCAGUUGUGAGGAAAGGUGUGUAGUUAAUAGCUGCAUACUGUGACGUUAGCAACAGAAGAAGCACCGGCUAACUCCGUGCCAGCAGCCGCGGUAAUACGGAGGGUGCGAGCGUUAAUCGGAAUUACUGGGCGUAAAGCGUGCGUAGGCGGUUUGUUAAGCGAGAUGUGAAAGCCCAGGGCUCAACCUUGGAACUGCAUUUCGAACUGGCAGGCUAGAGUACUGUAGAGGGUGGUGGAAUUUCCAGUGUAGCGGUGAAAUGCGUACAGAUUGGAAGGAACAUCAGUGGCGAAGGCGGCCACCUGGACAGAUACUGACGCUGAGGCACGAAAGCGUGGGGAGCAAACAGGAUUAGAUACCCUGGUAGUCCACGCCGUAAACGAUGUCAACUAGCUGUCUGUAGACUUGAUCUGUGGGUAGCGUAGCUAACGCGCUAAGUUGACCGCCUGGGGAGUACGGCCGCAAGGUUAAGACUCAAAUGAAUUGACGGGGGCCCGCACAAGCGGUGGAGC
rnacentral:rRNA from 1 species